UUGAGUCGAGGUUUCAACACU
ensembl:piRNA 21ur-7788 ncRNA